rnacentral:tRNA from 1 species
GGUUUCGUGGCCCAAUGGCAAGGCGUCUGACUACGAUAGAGAUCCAUUACGAGGUUCCUACCUAGCAAUGGACGCUUUACGAUAAUCAGGAGAUUCUGGGUUCGACCCCCAGCGAGAUCA